AGAGUUUGAUCCUGGCUCAGGAUGAACGCUAGCUACAGGCUUAACACAUGCAAGUCGAGGGGCAGCAUGGUCUUAGCUUGCUAAGGCCGAUGGCGACCGGCGCACGGGUGAGUAACACGUAUCCAACCUGCCGUCUACUCUUGGACAGCCUUCUGAAAGGAAGAUUAAUACAAGAUGGCAUCAUGAGUCCGCAUGUUCACAUGAUUAAAGGUAUUCCGGUAGACGAUGGGGAUGCGUUCCAUUAGAUAGUAGGCGGGGUAACGGCCCACCUAGUCUUCGAUGGAUAGGGGUUCUGAGAGGAAGGUCCCCCACAUUGGAACUGAGACACGGUCCGAACUCCUACGGGAGGCAGCAGUGAGGAAUAUUGGUCAAUGGGCGCAGGCCUGAACCAGCCAAGUAGCGUGAAGGAUGACUGCCCUAUGGGUUGUAAACUUCUUUUAUAAAGGAAUAAAGUCGGGUAUGUAUACCCGUUUGCAUGUACUUUAUGAAUAAGGAUCGGCUAACUCCGUGCCAGCAGCCGCGGUAAUACGGAGGAUCCGAGCGUUAUCCGGAUUUAUUGGGUUUAAAGGGAGCGUAGAUGGAUGUUUAAGUCAGUUGUGAAAGUUUGCGGCUCAACCGUAAAAUUGCAGUUGAUACUGGAUAUCUUGAGUGCAGUUGAGGCAGGCGGAAUUCGUGAUGUAGCGGUGAAAUGCUUAGAUAUCACGAAGAACUCCGAUUGCGAAGGCAGCCUGCUAAGCUGCAACUGACAUUGAGGCUCGAAAGUGUGGGUAUCAAACAGGAUUAGAUACCCUGGUAGUCCACACGGUAAACGAUGAAUACUCGCUGUUUGCGAUAUACAGCAAGCGGCCAAGCGAAAGCGUUAAGUAUUCCACCUGGGGAGUACGCCGGCAACGGUGAAACUCAAAGGAAUUGACGGGGGCCCGCACAAGCGGAGGAACAUGUGGUUUAAUUCGAUGAUACGCGAGGAACCUUACCCGGGCUUAAAUUGCAGAUGAAUUACGGUGAAAGCCGUAAGCCGCAAGGCAUCUGUGAAGGUGCUGCAUGGUUGUCGUCAGCUCGUGCCGUGAGGUGUCGGCUUAAGUGCCAUAACGAGCGCAACCCUUGUUGUCAGUUACUAACAGGUUUCGCUGAGGACUCUGACAAGACUGCCAUCGUAAGAUGUGAGGAAGGUGGGGAUGACGUCAAAUCAGCACGGCCCUUACGUCCGGGGCUACACACGUGUUACAAUGGGGGGUACAGAGGGCCGCUACCACGCGAGUGGAUGCCAAUCCCAAAAACCUCUCUCAGUUCGGACUGGAGUCUGCAACCCGACUCCACGAAGCUGGAUUCGCUAGUAAUCGCG
rnacentral:rRNA from 1 species